rnacentral:rRNA from 1 species
AUUGAACGCUGGCGGCAUGCUUUACACAUGCAAGUCGAACGGUAACAGGGAGCUUGCUCCGCUGACGAGUGGCGAACGGGUGAGUAAUGCGUCGGAACGUGCCGAGUAGUGGGGGAUAACGCAUCGAAAGGUGUGCUAAUACCGCAUACGAACUGAGGUUGAAAGUGGGGGACCUUCGGGCCUCACGCUAUUCGAGCGGCCGACGUCUGAUUAGCUAGUUGGUGAGGUAAAGGCUCACCAAGGCGACGAUCAGUAGCGGGUCUGGGAGGAUGAUCCGCCACACUGGGACGGAGACCCGGCCCAGACUCCUACGGGAGGCAGCAGUGGGGAAUUUUGGACAAUGGGCGCAAGCCUGAUCCAGCCAUGCCGCGUGUCUGAAGAAGGCCUUCGGGUUGUAAAGGACUUUUGUCCGGGAGCAAAUGCUGGUGGCUAACAUCCACCGGAGCUGAGAGUACCGGAAGAAUAAGCACCGGCUAACUACGUGCCAGCAGCCGCGGUAAAAC